GUACUCUGCUUCCUCUUCAGGUCGCACACAUCCUUCGCCUUUGACUCCAGAUUUCCGCGGAGAGGAACAAUUCUGAGCUUUGAAGCAAUUUUUUGAGGCCUUGCAUCUGCAAGGCU